AGAAGUUUGGGGAAAAAAGUUUGGAAAAGUUUUUAUAAUAACGAGGGGGCGUCCGGAGGGAGGAGGCCGCGGCGGAGGAGGGGGCGUCUCAGAGAAGGGGAGGGAGGGAGCCACGGGUGAAGAUAACGGCAGCCUCCUGAGCUCCCCCCUCCCAUCCAGACCCGGACCUGGGGGCUCCGGCCGGAUCCAUGGGGGCAGCAAGCUGCGAAGAUGACGAGCUGGAAUUUAAGCUGGUGUUCGGGGAGGAAAAGGAGGCCCCCCCGCUGGGCGCGGGGGGUUCGGGGGAAGAACUGGACUCAGAGGACGCCCCACCAUGCUGCCGUCUGGCCCUGGGGGAGCCCCCUCCCUAUGGCGCUGCCCCUAUUGGCAUUCCCCGGCCUCCACCCCCUCGGCCUGGCAUGCACUCACCACCACCCCGCCCAGCCCCCUCACCUGGCACUUGGGAGAGCCAGCCAGCCCGGUCAGUGAGGCUGGGGGGCCCAGGAGGGGGGUCCGGGGGGGCUGGGGGAAGCCGUGUUCUUGAGUGUCCCAGCAUCCGCAUCACUUCCAUCUCUCCCACGCCGGCCCCGCCUGCCGCGCUGGAGGACAGCCCGGACGUCUGGGGGGAUGGCUCUCCCAGGGAUUACCCCCCACCAGAAGGCUUUGGGGGCUACCGAGAGGCAGGGGGCCAGGGAGGGGGCCCCUUCUUCAGCCCGAGCCCUGGCAGCAGCAGCCUGUCCUCGUGGAGCUUCUUUUCAGACGCUUCCGAUGAGGCAGCUCUGUAUGCCGCCUGCGAUGAGGUGGAGUCCGAGCUAAAUGAGGCUGCCUCCCGCUUCGGCCUGGGCUCUCCACUGCCCUCACCCCGGGCCUCUCCUAGGCCAUGGACCCCAGAUGAUCCCUGGAGCCUGUAUGGUCCCAGCUCUGGAGGCCGGGGGCCAGAGGAUAGCUGGCUACUCCUCAGUGCUCCUGGGCCCACCCCUGCCUCCCCACGGCCUGCCUCUCCAUGUGGCAAGCGGCGUUAUUCCAGCUCGGGGACCCCAUCUUCAGCCUCCCCAGCUCUGUCCCGCCGUGGCAGUCUCGGGGAGGAGGGGCCUGAGCCCCCUCCACCACCCCCAUUGCCUCUGGCCCGGGAUCCUGGCUCCCCUGGUCCCUUUGACUACGUGGGGGCCCCACCUGCGGAGAGCAUCCCCCAGAAGACCCGGCGGACUUCCAGUGAGCAGGCAGUGGCCCAGCCUCGGUCUGAGGAACCUACCCCCUGCAAUGGGAAGCUGUCUUCUGGAGCAGAGGAGGCCGGGGCUCCCCCUGGGGGUCCUCGGAAGGAAGUGGCUGGCAUGGACUACCUGGCUGUGCCCUCCCCUCUUACUUGGUCCAAGGCCCGGAUUGGGGGACACAGCCCCAUCUUCAGGACCUCUGCCCUACCCCCACUGGACUGGCCUCUGCCCAGCCAGUAUGAGCAGCUGGAGCUGAGGAUCGAGGUGCAGCCUAGAGCCCACCACCGGGCCCACUAUGAGACAGAGGGCAGCCGCGGAGCUGUCAAAGCUGCUCCUGGUGGUCACCCUUUAGUCAAGCUCUUAGGUUACAGUGAGAAGCCCCUGACCCUACAGAUGUUCAUUGGCACUGCAGAUGAAAGGAACCUGAGGCCCCAUGCCUUCUAUCAGGUGCACCGUAUCACAGGAAAGAUGGUGGCCACGGCCAGCUAUGAGGCUGUAGUCAGUGGCACCAAGGUGUUGGAGAUGACUCUGCUUCCUGAGAACAACAUGGCAGCCAACAUUGACUGUGCUGGAAUCCUGAAGCUUCGGAAUUCAGACAUUGAGCUGAGGAAGGGGGAGACGGACAUCGGGCGCAAGAACACACGUGUGCGGCUGGUAUUCCGGGUCCAUGUGCCCCAGGGCAGCGGGAAGGUUGUCUCCGUGCAGACAGCAUCUGUGCCCAUCGAGUGUUCUCAGCGCUCAGCCCAGGAGCUGCCUCAGGUGGAGGCCUACAGCCCCAGUGCCUGCUCUGUGAGAGGAGGAGAGGAACUCGUGCUGACUGGCUCCAACUUCCUGCCAGACUCCAAGGUGGUAUUCAUCGAGAGGGGCCCCGAUGGAAAGCUGCAGUGGGAGGAGGAGGCCACAGUGAACCGGUUGCAGAGCAAUGAGGUCACGCUGACCCUGACUGUCCCUGAGUACAGCAACAAGCGGGUGUCUAGGCCCGUCCAGGCCUACUUUUAUGUUUCCAAUGGACGGAGGAAGCGUAGCCCUACCCAGAGUUUCAAGUUCCUGCCUGUGAUCUUUAAGGAGGAGCCUCUGCCAGAUGCAUCUCUCCGGGGCUUCCCUUCAGCAUCGGGUCCCCCCUUUGGCACUGACAUGGACUUCUCACCACCCCGGCCCCCUUACCCCUCUUAUCCCCAUGAAGACCCUGCUUAUGAAACUCCUUACCUGUCAGAAGGCUUCAGCUAUGGCACACCCCCUCUGUGUCCCCAGACAGGGCCCCCACCAUGCUACAGAUCUGGUCUGCGGUUGUUCCCUGAGACUGGGUGUACUACAGGUUGUUCCCGCCCACCUCCAGUCUCCUUCCUUCCCCGGCCCUUCCCCAGUGAUCCCUAUGGAGGACGGGGCUCCCCUUUUCCCCUGGGGCUGCCAUUCCCUCCUCCAGCCCCCUUCCGGCCUUCCCUGCCUUCAUCCCCACCUCUUGAAGGUCCCUUUCCUUCCCAGAGUGGUGUCCAUGCCCCAUCUGCUGAGGGAUUCAAUGAGGUAGGGCCAAGCUAUGGCCCUGGGGAGGGGGCUCCGGAGCAGGAGAAAUCCAGGGGUGGCUACAGCAGCGGCUUCCGAGACAGUGUCCCUAUCCAGGGUAUCACGCUGGAGGAAGGUGGGUGCGGGACCAAGGGCUGUGAGUGUGAGUGUAUGCACGAGAUCGCUCUGCAUGUUUGCUGAGGGUUAGAGCUUGGCUUCUCAGAGGCUGGGCAUCCUAGUCCCUUGAGGCCAGGUGGAGGGUCUCAGGAGGCAAGUUCUUGGUGUGUGUGGCCACUUGAAUCCAGCUAACUGAAUUCUGAAGGGUGUGUGGAGUACCUGCCCCAAGCCCUUCUCUUGCCUCUGCCCUCUGCCCCAGAUCCCACCAUCUCAGGGCUAGACGGACUGUCAUUCAAUUCAGCUCUUUCAAUUUGCAGAUUCAGACAGUGAGCUUCAGAAAGGGGCAGUGACUUCCUGAGGUCCCAGUCAAGCAUGUUUUCCCUUGCCUCAGCUUUCCCCUACACAUGGUGACUGUGGUCAGGAUUGGUGACAAGGAACCUUUGUGUUAUUCACCUCCUUCCUCCCACUGGCUACACCCACCUCUGGCCCUGCUGACAGCGAAUGCUCUGACACUGCAGGCCGAGCCAGCAGGAAAGGGCUGGGAAGGGGGCCUGGGAGCCCACAUGGAUGUUGUUGAGCAAGAUUUGAUUGGGAGCAGUGAGUGAGAUCAUUGGCCGAGACCUGAGUGGCUUCCCUGCACCUCCUGGAGAAGAGCCUCCUGCCUGAACCAUCGUCUGGCAACCCUACUCCCACCCACCCCCAGCACUGCCCACUUUUCCUUCCUCCUG